CGGCCCACCUAGCCUACGACGGGUACGGGCCCUGAGAGGGGGAGCCCGGAGAUGGGCACUGAGACAAGGGUCUAGGCCCUAAGGGGUGCAGCAGGCGCGAAGAUUCCGCAAUGCCCGAAAGGGCGACGGAGUGAACCCGAGUGCCACCCGCUGAGGGUGGCUGUUCCCCUGUGUAAAAAGCAGGGGGUAGAAAGGGGAGGGCAAGGCUGGUGGCAGCCGCCGCGGUAAAACCAGCUCCCCGAGGGGUUCCCACGCAUACUGGGCCUAAAGCGUCCGUAGCCGGCCCUGCAAGUCUGCAGUUAAAUCCGCCUGUAGACAGGCGGGCUGCUGCAGAUACUGCAGGGCUAGGGAGCGGGAGGAGCCGGGGGUAUUCCCGGGGGAGCGGUAAAAUGCGUAGAUCCCGGGAGGACCACCAGUGGCGAAGGCGCCCGGCUUGAACGCGUCCGACGGUGAGGGACGAAAGCUGGGGGAGCAAACCGGACUAGAUACCCGGGUAGUCCCAGCCGUAAACGAUGCCGGCUAGGUGCUGGCCAAGGUUUCGGCCUUGGCCAGUGUCGAAGCGAAGGCAUUAAGCCGGCCGCCUGAGGAGUACGGCCGCAAGGCUGAAACUUGAAGGAAUUGACGGGGGGGCACCACAAGGGGUGAAUGCCUGCGGCUUAAUUGGACUCAACGCCGGGAAUCUUACCGGGGGCGACAGCAGGAUGAAGGUCAGGCUGAAGACCUUACCAGACGCGCUGAGGGGUGGUGCAUGGCCGUCGCCAGCUCGUGCCGUGAGGUGUCCUGUUAAGUCAGGCAACGAGCGAGACCCCCGCCCCUAGUUGCCAGCGGCCUCCUUCGGGAGGGACCGGGCAAACUAGGGGGACCGCCUCCGAAGAGGAGGAGGAAGGUGGGGGCUACGGCAGGUCAGUAUGCCCCUAAUCCCCCGG
rnacentral:rRNA from 1 species